rnacentral:tRNA from 1 species
GCUGGGAUGGUCUAGUGGUAGAAUUCGGGACUGUGGAUCCUGAGGUCAGGGUUCGAUUCCCUGUCCCGGCACCA